GCCGGGCAUGGUGGCAGGUGCCUGUAGUCCCAGCUACUCAGGUGGCUGAGGCAGGAGGAUUACUUGAGCCCAGGAGUUCAAGGCUGGAGUGAGUUACGAUAACUUCACUGCACUCUAGCCUGGGCAACAGAGCAAGACCCUGUCUCAA
ensembl:misc_RNA Metazoa_SRP Metazoan signal recognition particle RNA